rnacentral:rRNA from 1 species
UUCGGUACAUCGGUGACAGGUGGUGCAUGGUUGUCGUCAGCUCGUGUCGUGAGAUGUUGGGUUAAGUCCCGCAACGAGCGCAACCCCUAUUGUUAGUUGCCAUCAUUCAGUUGGGCACUCUAGCGAGACUGCCGGUAUAAACCGAGGAAGUGGGGAUGACGUCAAAUCAUCAUGCCCCUUAUGACCUGGGCUACACACGUGCUACAAUGGUUGGUACAACGAGUUGCGAGUCGGUGACGGCGAGCUAAUCUCUUAAAGCCAAUCUCAGUUCGGAUUGUAGGCUGCAACUCGACUACGUGAAGUCGGAAUCGCUAGUAAUUGUGGAUCAGAAUGUCACGGUGAAUACGUUCCCGGGUCUU